GUCUACAGCCAUACCACCCUGAAUGCGCCCAAUCUUGUCUGAUCUCAGAUGCUAAGCAGGGUUGGGCCUGGUUAGAACUUGGAUGGUAGAAA
rnacentral:rRNA from 1 species